UGCGUCUGGCGCACCAAUCGACCGAUCUGAAUGGGCAACCUGCAAGAUUUGAGUAAGAGCGUAUCUGUUGGGACCCGAAAGAUGGUGAACUAUGCCUGGAUAGGGUGAAGCCAGAGGAAACUCUGGUGGAGGCUCGUAGUGGUUCUGACGUGCAAAUCGAUCACUGAAUUUGGGUAUAGGGGCGAAAGACUAAUCGAACCAUCUAGUAGCUGGUUCCCACCGAAGUUUCCCCCAGGAUAGCUGGAACUUGAGACCACAGUUUUAUCGGGUAAAGCGAAUGAUUAGAGGCCUUGGAGACGAAACGUCUUCAACCUAUUCUCAAACUUUAAAUAGGUAAGAAGCCUGGCUUGCUUAAGUGAAGUCGGGUGUGAAUGGGAGUUCCUAGUGGGCCAUUUUUGGUAAGCAGAACUGGCGAUGCGGGAUGAACCGAACGUAGAGUUACGGUGCCGAAAUCGACGCUCAUCAGAUCCCACAAAAGUGUUGUGAUCUAGACAGCAGCG
rnacentral:rRNA from 1 species